rnacentral:rRNA from 1 species
UACGUAUGGUGCAAGCGUUAUCCGGAUUUACUGGGUGUAAAGGGAGCGCAGGCGGCACGGCAAGCCUGAUGUGAAGGCCCGCGGCCCAACCGCGGGACUGCAUUGGGAACUACCGGGCUGGAGUGCCGGAGAGGUAGGCGGAAUUCCUAGUGUAGCGGUGAAAUGCGUAGAUAUUAGGAGGAACACCAGUGGCGAAGGCGGCCUACUGGACGGUGACUGACGCUGAGGCUCGAAAGCGUGGGGGGCAAACAGG